CCCCACAUCUACUGGCCUUUCUCUUAUUUUCUCCCAAAUUGACUGCAAUCAGAAGGCAAUUGCUACUCCGACUGGCCAUUGCACAUAUUGAAUUCCGAGAUUGGUGUUGCAAUUGAGAUAAACUCUGAGGCUGGUGUUGCAAUUGACAGAUUAAUGUAAGUUCUGAAAGGAACACUUGUAUCAAAAAGAUUAAUGGUCCGGAAAGAGAAACCAGUAAAUUAAUAUAAGCUUGGAAGAUGUUAGCAACAAUGCAACGGAAAGAGUUAAAGAGAAUGAAGAAGGUGUUUUCAAUUGCAUGGUAAGGCUUUUGUUUCUAGCACUUCUUUGUACAAAGUUUGUUUCGUUAAAAUUUGCUUUUGUUUUGUUGCCGUAUUUAUGUUGCAUUUCUGAGAUGAGUAAUUUGUGAACUUCCACUUUCUUGAAUCUCUUCCAGCAACUUACUAUAUCGGUAUAUCUAUCUUUUAAUAUUUGAUAAUUAUGUUCUUAACCUAUGUUGCUCGGACUCAUAGAAAAUGUCAAUGGAUGUAUGUCGGAUUUGCCAAAUUUUUUGUAUUUAGAUGAUAGAUAUUUCAUCCAAAGAGGAGUUAAUCCUAGACGAGAUUGUGGAGGUAGGUGUACCGUGUGUACGGAUGUGAGAAACAACAUUGCUUUUAAGACAAUACUGUUAAUCUGAUGAUACUUUAGUGGUUUGCCUUCUUUGCUAUAGUGUCGUUCUUCUAUGUAUAGGACAUACGUUACUGAUUUAUAAGUUCAGGAGUUAACUGCUCUACUCUUAAGUCUUAAUCCUCUAUAUAUGUACUUGAUUUCUUAUAUAUGCUUUACUUGAGCCAAGGGUCUAUGUAAAACAACCUCUCUACCUUCAAACAACCUCUCCAUAGCAUCCAUAUCAAACUCUGGCAUAAUAGAUAAACAACACGUAGGCAGUAAGGAUCCACCAUAGUGAAAAACCCAGACACGCUCCUAAUUGAAGUACACUUCUGAAGAUCAUUCUUUAGUUUAUUGUAAGUAUCUAGAAUUGGAUUAGUGGCAUAGGAUGCCACCCCCAAGUUCACCAACUGAGGAGUUUGAAGUAAAAUCCCGUGAAGAACAUUAAGAGGCACGACGCAAUUUAGCCUCAGCUUUGUUACCACCAAUCUUACAAGAUCUCCAAAGUCCUUUGAGACAAGCAAAAUUUAAUGAGACAAGGGUGAUGCAGCUGUCCGAAAAACAACUAAGCCACUGUCCUUUGCGAUAUUCUACUUGACAUUCUUGCAAGUCCAACUCUUGUAAAAACCUGUAUUUUAGUGAAAACUGAUCAAUAAACCAAACUAAUGAAAGCAAUUGAUCAUCUUUCAUUGUCUAUUGUUGUAAUGUGUGACAAAACUCAUUAAUUGCUUCCACGAGGAAAGCUCUUUUACACAUAGAAUACUCCAGCAGAGUAUCUGGGUGUGUGAGCACUGAAAAAUAGAAAUUAAAAAUACUACCAAAUAAGAUGCCUUUCACAUAGGCAAUAAUCAGGGUAAACUAUAGCUUCGAGUCUGAUAUUAGAUACAUGGCAACAAAGCUUUGCAUCAGCAUUGUAUUGUGCCAUAGUAGCCUUGUUGGCUUUAUGUUUCAUGUGACUAGCAGCAGAAGAGGCAGAAAAGUGGAAUCUUCAUAAGUGAUUUUGUUAUUCUGGCUUGUGGGUGUUGUUCCUUUGCUUGUUUUACUGUUCUGCAACUCCAUUUUUUAGAUUCUUGAAAAUAGUUUAUUCUUAGAGAUAGUUUCAAUACAUAGAGCAACUGGAAUUCUUGUAUGACUUCUAGAUGAAGAACUUAGAAAAGCUACAGACUAGUUUCCUGUUCGUUGUUUAUUAUCUCAUUGUACAUUGAUUGAUUUGAUGUGAAUCCAUUCACUGUGAAUAACACUUUUAUUGUUUUGUAAUUGUAACUAAAAUGUGGAUAUUUGCCAAUAUAUUGCAGAUAUGCCAAGGUACAAGCGCAUGUAGAAAAUUGAUUUCAUUACAAGGAGACUACGUGAUGAUUAUGAUCCUAAUAAUAGUCAUUAAUUUCAUUGCAAAUUGUAUGUCUUCGAUAUUCAAUUAUGUCUUGGAUGUAUUUAUGUAUUUUGUUGGAGUGAAUCUUAAAACACUGAAUCUUUUGUGUUUAAAUUUGAUUUUGAAGAUACUACUUAAUAUUGAAAAAUUGGAGUU
rnacentral:lncRNA from 1 species